rnacentral:rRNA from 1 species
AUUGAACGCUGGCGGCAUGCUUUACACAUGCAAGUCGAACGGCAGCGCGGACUUCUGCCUGGCGGCUAGUGUCGAACGGGUGAGUAAUACAUCGGGACGUGCCCAGCAGUGGGUGAGAGCUCGGCGGAGGCCGGGGUAAUACCGCAGACGAGCUGAAGGUGAAAGCGGGGGAGCUUGGGAGCUCUCGCUGUUGGAGCGGCCGAUGGCAGUUUGGCGAGUUUGUGGGGUAAAAGCCUACAAAGGGGACGAUCUGUAUCUGGUCUGAGAGGGCGAGGAGCGACACUGGGACUGAGACACGGCCCAGACUCCUACGGGAGGCACCAGUGGGGAAUUUUGGACAAUGGGCGAAAGCCUGCUCCAGCAAUGCCGCGUGUGUGAUGAGGGCCUUCGGGUUGUAAAGCACUUUUGGCGGGAACGAAACGGACUGCGCCAAUACCACGGUUCGAUGACGGUACCCGCAGAAUAAGCACCGGCUAACUACGUG